rnacentral:rRNA from 1 species
UAAAAUUUCAACAACAACUACUACUACACCUUCCGUUUUGUCUAUUCCAGAUUCC